UUACCACGCCCGGGAACCGAACCCGGGCCUUUUGGGUGAAAGCCAGAUAUGCUAGCCACUAUACCACGUGGGA
rnacentral:tRNA from 1 species